rnacentral:misc_RNA from 1 species
GAAUUGUUGUUGCCUUUGGCUAGCUUAUCUUCUGGUAAUAUCCCUUUCACAAAUGCGACAUGUGAUCAAUCAUUUGCCAAAAAUCAGUAUUGCAUAUACAAGUGUCUUUGGCAACAAAAGCAACUUUUUGAUAACUUGUAUGGCAUGUUGUAUGAAGAGCACUUGUUUGUGCAAACUAUCGAAGGUUUCCAUUUGAAUACUU